AAUAUACUCCCUUUGUUCCAAAAAAUUUGUCUUAGAUUUGUCUAAAUACGGAUGUAUCUAAUACUAAAAUGUGACUUGAUACAUCCGUAUCUAGACAAAUGUAAGACAAGAAUUUUGGGACGGAGGGAGUAUGAA
rnacentral:pre_miRNA from 1 species